rnacentral:misc_RNA from 1 species
AACGCACAUUGCGCCUGUUAGCAUUCUAGCAGGCAUGCCUGUCCGAGCGUCAUUUCAACCCUCAAGCUCUGCUGUAGCUUGGUGUUGGAGCACCUGUAGCAUUUACUGUUUCAGGGCUCUGAAAGCUAGUGGCGGGCCCGCCAGGUCUCCAAGCGCAGUAGCAUUUUUCUCGCUUCUGGAGCUUCCGGCGGGCUUUUUUCCAGCCGUUAAAAACCCCACUGAAGUAACCCUAAAAUUUGACCUCGGAUCAGGUAGGAUUACCCGCUGAACUUAA